rnacentral:rRNA from 1 species
AGAGUUUGAUCAUGGCUCAGAACGAACGCUGGCGGCGUGGAUAAGACAUGCAAGUCGAACGGAUUCAGCUUUGUAGUAAUACAGAGUUGGGUUAGUGGCGCACGGGUGAGUAACACGUGAGUAAUCUGCCGAGAAGUGGGGGAUAGCUCGCCGAAAGGCGAAUUAAUACCGCAUGUGAUAGCAAUAUUAAAGUCGGGGUAACCUGACGCUUCUUGAUGAGCUCGCGGCCUAUCAGCUUGUUGGCGGGGUAACGGCCCACCAAGGCUAUGACGGGUAGCUGGUCUGAGAGGAAGAUCCCCCACACUGGCACUGGGAUACGGACCAGACUCCUACGGGAGGCAGCAGUAGGGAAUAUUGGGCAAUGCCCGCAAGGGUGACCCAGCCAUGCCGCGUGCAGGAAGAAGGCCUUCUGGGUUGUAAACUGCUUUUGGAAGGGAACAAAAUGGUCUUGCGAGACAACUUGAGUGUACCUUCAGAAUAAGCACCGGCUAACUCCGUGCCAGCAGCCGCGGUAAUACGGAGGGUGCAAGCGUUGUCCGGAUUUAUUGGGUUUAAAGGGUGCGUAGGCGGCUUAUUAAGUCAGGGGUGAAAGACUAUUGCUUAACAAUGGCAGUGCCUUUGAUACUGAUAAGCUUGAGUACAGCUGAGGCAGAUGGAACGGGUGGUGUAGCGGUGAAAUGCAUAGAUACCAUCCAGAACACCGAUUGCGAAGGCAGUCUGCUAAACUGUAACUGACGCUGAGGCACGAAAGCGUGGGGAUCGAACAGGAUUAGAUACCCCCGUAGUCC